CUAUCUUGGUGGCGCACUUGGACAAGUUCUUGGUGGGCUAACGUGUACUUCUAGAUUAUAGAAUUAAUGUUACUAAAGCCCGCUUAUCUCAGCGGGCUUUUUUUG
rfam:Vibrio hepatarius strain DSM 19134 contig0004, whole genome shotgun sequence.